rnacentral:rRNA from 1 species
CCUACGGGAGGCAGCAGUAGGGAAUCUUCCACAAUGGACGAAAGUCUGACGGAGCAACGCCGCGUGAGUGAUGAAGGCUUUCGGGUCGUAAAACUCUGUUGUUAGGGAAGAACAAGUAUGAGAGUAACUGCUCGUACCUUGACGGUACCUAACCAGAAAGCCACGGCUAACUACGUGCCAGCAGCCGCGGUAAUACGUAGGUGGCAAGCGUUAUCCGGAAUUAUUGGGCGUAAAGCGCGCGCAGGCGGUUUCUUAAGUCUGAUGUGAAAGCCCACGGCUCAACCGUGGAGGGUCAUUGGAAACUGGGGAACUUGAGUGCAGAAGAGAAAAGCGGAAUUCCACGUGUAGCGGUGAAAUGCGUAGAGAUGUGGAGGAACACCAGUGGCGAAGGCGGCUUUUUGGUCUGUAACUGACGCUGAGGCGCGAAAGCGUGGGGAGCAAACAGGAUUAGAUACCCUGGUAGUCCACGCCCUAAACGGUGGGCAUUAGGUGUAGGGCUCGUAAGGGUUCUGUGCCGAAGGGAAACCAUUAAAUGCCCCGCCUGGGGAGUACGGCCGCAAGGUUGAAACUUAAAGGAAUUGACGG